rnacentral:rRNA from 1 species
CCUACGGGAGGCAGCAGUGAGGAAUAUUGGGCAAUGGGCGCGAGCCUGAACCAGCCAAGUCGCGGGAGGGAAGACGGUCCUAUGGAGUGUAAACCUCUUUUGUCGGGGAGCAAAAGACGCCACGCGUGGCGUUCCGAGAGUACCCGAAGAACAAGCAUCGGCUAACUCCGUGCCAGCAGCCGCGGUAUUACGGAGGAUGCGAGCGUUAUCCGGAUUUAUUGGGUUAAAGGGGUGCGCAGGCGGAAGAUCAAGUCAGCGGUAAAAUUGAGGGGCUCACCCUCUUCGGGCCGUUGCAACUGGUUUUCUUGAGUGAGCGAGAGGUAUGCGGAAUGCGUGGUGUAGCGGUGAAAUGCAUAGAUAUCACGCAGAAUUCCGAUUGCGAAGGCAGCAUACCGGCGCGCAACUGACGCUCAUGCACGAAAGUGUGGGUAUCGAACAGGAUUAGAUACCCCUGUAGUC